rnacentral:tRNA from 1 species
GUUAUUGUAGCUUAUUAUAAAGCACGGCACUGAAGAUGCCAAGAUGGGUGACACACAAACCCCAAAAACAC